GUGAAUUGCAGAUUUCAGUGAAUCAUCGAAUCUUUGAACGCACAUUGCGCCCGCUAGUAUUCUGGCGGGCAUGCCUGUUCGAGCGUCAUUUCAACCAUCAAGCCCUAGGCUUGCGUUGGAGCCCUGCGGCUGCCGCAGGCUCCCAAAUCCAGUGGCGGGCUCGUCGUCGUACCGAGUGCAGUAAACAUCCUCGCUCAGGGAGCGUGACGGGUUCUUGCCGUGAAACCCCCCACAUAUCAAGGUUGACCUCGGAUCAGGUAGGAAUACCCGCUGAACUUAAGCAUAUCAAUAAGCGGAGGAAAAGAAACCAACAGGGAUUGCCCCAGUAACGGCGAGUGAAGCGGCAACAGCUCAAAUUUGAAAUCUGGCCUCGGCCCGAGUUGUAAUUUGUAGAGGAAGCUUCUGGUGCGGCGCCGUCCGAGUCUCCUGGAACGGAGCGCCAUAGAGGGUGAGAGCCCCGUAUGGACGGAUGCCAAACCUGUGUGAAGCUCCUUCGACGAGUCGAGUAGUUUGGGAAUGCUGCUCUAAAUGGGGGGUAAAUUCCUUCUAAAGCUAAAUAUUGGCCAGAGACCGAUAGCGCACAAGUAGAGUGAUCGAAAGAUGAAAAGCACUUUGAAAAGAGGGUUAAACAGCACGUGAAAUUGUUGAAAGGGAAGCGCUUGUGACCAGACUUGAGCGCGGCGGAUCAUCCGGUGUUCUCACCGGUGCACUCCGCCGCGCCCAGGCCAGCAUCGGUUUCCGCGGGGGGACAAAGGUCCCGGGAACGUAGCUCCUCCGGGAGUGUUAUAGCCCGGGGCGUAAUGCCCCCGUGGGGACCGAGGACCGCGCAUCUGCAAGGAUGCUGGC
rnacentral:rRNA from 1 species